rnacentral:misc_RNA from 1 species
GAUGACGAACGCAGCGAAAUGCGAUAAGUAAUGUGAAUUGCAGAAUUCAGUGAAUCAUCGAAUCUUUGAACGCACCUUGCGCCCUUUGGACUUCUGAAGGGCAUGCCUGUUUGAGUAUCAUGAACACCUCAACUCCUUAUGGUCUUCCAUGAUGAGCUUGGACUUUGGGGGUUUUGCUGGCCUACAGUCAGCUCCUCUAAAAUAAAUCAGCUUACCGGUGUUUGGUGGGUAUCAUGGGUGUGAUAACUAUCUACGCUCGUGGUUUUCCACCAGGUAACCUUCAGCAGUGGAGGUUCACUGGAGCUCAUAGAUGUCUCUCCUCAGCGAGGACAGCCCUUUGAAUGUUUGAUCUCAAAUCAGGUAGGACUACCCGCUGAACUUAAGCAUAUCAAUAAGCGGAGGA